AGAAGGUUGGCCGAGUGGCUUAAGGCGUGCUACUUGAGAUAGCAAAGGUUAGAAAACCUCACCAGUUCGAAUCUGGUACCUUCUG